rnacentral:rRNA from 2 species
UCCUGGCUCAGGAUGAACGCUGGCGGCGUGCCUAAUACAUGCAAGUCGAACGAGUUCUCGUUGAUGAUCGGUGCUUGCACCGAGAUUCAACAUGGAACGAGUGGCGGACGGGUGAGUAACACGUGGGUAACCUGCCCUUAAGUGGGGGAUAACAUUUGGAAACAGAUGCUAAUACCGCAUAGAUCCAAGAACCGCAUGGUUCUUGGCUGAAAGAUGGCGUAAGCUAUCGCUUUUGGAUGGACCCGCGGCGUAUUAGCUAGUUGGUGAGGUAAUGGCUCACCAAGGCGAUGAUACGUAGCCGAACUGAGAGGUUGAUCGGCCACAUUGGGACUGAGACACGGCCCAAACUCCUACGGGAGGCAGCAGUAGGGAAUCUUCCACAAUGGACGCAAGUCUGAUGGAGCAACGCCGCGUGAGUGAAGAAGGCUUUCGGGUCGUAAAACUCUGUUGUUGGAGAAGAAUGGUCGGCAGAGUAACUGUUGUCGGCGUGACGGUAUCCAACCAGAAAGCCACGGCUAACUACGUGCCAGCAGCCGCGGUAAUACGUAGGUGGCAAGCGUUAUCCGGAUUUAUUGGGCGUAAAGCGAGCGCAGGCGGUUUUUUAAGUCUGAUGUGAAAGCCCUCGGCUUAACCGAGGAAGCGCAUCGGAAACUGGGAAACUUGAGUGCAGAAGAGGACAGUGGAACUCCAUGUGUAGCGGUGAAAUGCGUAGAUAUAUGGAAGAACACCAGUGGCGAAGGCGGCUGUCUGGUCUGUAACUGACGCUGAGGCUCGAAAGCAUGGGUAGCGAACAGGAUUAGAUACCCUGGUAGUCCAUGCCGUAAACGAUGAAUGCUAGGUGUUGGAGGGUUUCCGCCCUUCAGUGCCGCAGCUAACGCAUUAAGCAUUCCGCCUGGGGAGUACGACCGCAAGGUUGAAACUCAAAGGAAUUGACGGGGGCCCGCACAAGCGGUGGAGCAUGUGGUUUAAUUCGAAGCAACGCGAAGAACCUUACCAGGUCUUGACAUCUUUUGAUCACCUGAGAGAUCAGGUUUCCCCUUCGGGGGCAAAAUGACAGGUGGUGCAUGGUUGUCGUCAGCUCGUGUCGUGAGAUGUUGGGUUAAGUCCCGCAACGAGCGCAACCCUUAUGACUAGUUGCCAGCAUUUAGUUGGGCACUCUAGUAAGACUGCCGGUGACAAACCGGAGGAAGGUGGGGAUGACGUCAAAUCAUCAUGCCCCUUAUGACCUGGGCUACACACGUGCUACAAUGGAUGGUACAACGAGUUGCGAGACCGCGAGGUYAAGCUAAUCUCUUAAAGCCAUUCUCAGUUCGGACUGUAGGCUGCAACUCGCCUACACGAAGUCGGAAUCGCUAGUAAUCGCGGAUCAGCACGCCGCGGUGAAUACGUUCCCGGGCCUUGUACACACCGCCCGUCACACCAUGAGAGUUUGUAACACCCGAAGCCGGUGGCGUAACCCUUUUAGGGAGCGAGCCGUCUAAGGUGGGACAAAUGAUUAGGGUGAAGUCGUAACAAGGUAACC